rnacentral:rRNA from 1 species
AACGAACGCUGGCGGCAUGCCUAACACAUGCAAGUCGAACGAGACCUUCGGGUCUAGUGGCGCACGGGUGCGUAACGCGUGGGAACCUGCCCUUAGGUUCGGAAUAACUCCCCGAAAGGGGUGCUAAUACCGGAUAAUGUCUUCGGACAAAAGAUUUAUCGCCUCGGGUUGGGCCCGCGUUGGUUUAGCUAGUGGGUAGGGUAAAAGCCUACAAAGACGCCGAUCCCUAGCUGGUCUGGGAGGAUGAUCAGCACCACUGGGACUGGGACACGGCCCGGACCCUUAGGGGAGGAAGCAGGGGGGAAAAUGGGAAAUUGGGCGAAGGCCGGAUCCAGCAAGGCGGGGGGAGGGAGGAAGGCCUUAGGGUUGUAAGGCUCUUUUACCCGGGAGGAUAAUGACAGUACGGGGAGAAUAGGCUCCGGCAAACUCCGG